rnacentral:rRNA from 1 species
CCUACGGGGUGCAGCAGUGGGGAAUAUUGCACAAUGGGCGCAAGCCUGAUGCAGCCAUGCCGCGUGUAUGAAGAAGGCCUUCGGGUUGUAAAGUACUUUCAGCGGGGAGGAAGGCGAUAAGGUUAAUAACCUUGUCGAUUGACGUUACCCGCAGAAGAAGCACCGGCUAACUCCGUGCCAGCAGCCGCGGUAAUACGGAGGGUGCAAGCGUUAAUCGGAAUUACUGGGCGUAAAGCGCACGCAGGCGGUCUGUCAAGUCGGAUGUGAAAUCCCCGGGCUCAACCUGGGAACUGCAUUCGAAACUGGCAGACUAGAGUCUUGUAGAGGGGGGUAGAAUUUCAGGUGUAGCGGUGAAAUGCGUAGAGAUCUGAAGGAAUACCGGUGGCGAAGGCGGCCCCUUGGACAAAGACUGACGCUCAGAUGCGAAAGCGUGGGGAGCAAACAGGAUUAGAUACCCCUGUAGUC